CAACAAUAACAGGCCAUUGUGCAGACGGCGAUAAAUGUUCGAUUCGAUUUCUCGUUUCGCAGGCUUUCAAACGGAUUAAUUAGUUUGAAGCGGUUCGAACGCAUCGCUAAUUGUAAAGCAUCAUGGACCAUGACUUAUUUAAUAGAGUUGAGGAUCGCAUUUUAACUACAGUAUUAAACUUGUAAAGAGCUCAAAUGUUGUUUAUUAAUUUCAAGACAAACUUCGUUUAAAAGGACUUCAAGGUCAGAGUUGUUUUCUGGAGAGAGUAAGAUUUGUAGAAUAUACGCUUUCGUGCGACAAUAAUCUAUUAUGUAUUUGAAAACAGAACUUUUUAUGCGUUAACUCUUCGUGAAGUGUUUAAUUGCACUAUUCUAUGUAGAUAACUUAAGUCUGCGCGUCAAUUACAAGCAACAGAAUCAGAAAAAACGUAGAGAAAAAACAGAAAUAUCCGUACUAUGCGCUAUGGCCUACAUUCUAUUGAAACGUCUGACUAAAUGAA